rnacentral:tRNA from 1 species
GAUAAGGUAAGCUAAACUAAGCUAGUGGGCUCAUAACCCAAAAAUGAUAACUUCCCUUGUUA